UUUUUUAUCAUUUUUUUUCUUUAACAAUAAGUCAGCUAGAGAUUUAGUUUUUUAAUUGUUUUUUUUCAAGAUUAUCUCUGCUAAUUUUGUAUGUUAGCCUUGAUUAACUUAGGUAGACCUGAUAUGUUUCCAUCUUAAUAUUAGAUAAAAAUAUUAUUGAAUAUAUAACUAAUUUUAAAUUCUUGGUUAAAAUCUAUUUUUGUUUAUAAAAAAAAAGACGUUAGAAAUACUUUUUUUUCCCUGCGUUU
rnacentral:lncRNA from 1 species